AGGACCACCAGUGGUGAAGACGUCUGGUUAGAAUAGGUCCGACGGUGAGGGACGAAGGCUGGGGGCGCAAACCGGAUUAGAUACCCGGGUAGUCCCAGCAGUAAACGAUGCCAGCUAUGUGUUGCUGGAACCAUGGGUUCCAGCAGUGCCGAAGGGAAGCCGUGAAGCUGGCCACCUGGGAAGUACGGUCGCAAGGCUGAAACUUAAAGGAAUUGGCGGGGGAGUACCACAACCGGUGGAGCCUGCGGUUUAAUUGGAUACAACGCCGGGGAUCUUACCGGAGGGGACAGCAGUAUGAAGGCCAGGCUAAAGACCUUGCCAGAUCAGCUGAGAGGAGGUGCAUGGCCGUCGCCAGUUCGUACCGUGAGGCAUCCUGUUUAGUCAGGCAACGAUCGAGACCCGCAGUCUUAUUUGCCAGCAUGCCCUUUGGGGUGUAUGGGUACAAUAAGACGACCGCCAGCGCUAAGCUGGAGGAAGGAGCGGGCUACGGUAGGUCAGCAUGCCCCGAAUCCUCCGGGAUACACGCGGGCUACAAUGGUCAGGACAAAAGGUACCGACCUCGAAAGAGUGAGGUAAUCCACAAACCUGAUCUCAGUCCGGGUCGAAGGCUGCAACUCGCCUUCGUGAAGAUGGAAUCGGUAGUAAUCGUGACUCAANAUGUCACGGUGAAUAUGUCCCUGCUCCUUGCACACACCGCCCG
rnacentral:rRNA from 1 species